rnacentral:lncRNA from 1 species
GGUCUCCUCAAUGGCAAAGAGAUUUUUAAAAUGUAUGUAGAAUAGGUAGAAUUUUUUUGUUUUGCAAUACAUAGUAUGUAGAGUUAAGAAAAGCUAAUAAAUUGAUGAAUGAAUAGUUUAGAAGGUAGGAUGGAUGAUUUAGUCAAAAAAGUAGUUAUCAUCAUAUUGUAUAGUGGUUGGCAUUUUGAGAUAAAUAUAAGUGGGUUGAAGAAGAAAUAGGAGGGAAUUUGUAUGAAGAAGUAUAGAAAGAAUGACAGUUAAAUGUAGAAGAUUCUAGUAAUUAGAUUAUGGAGUGAUUGAAUGCUGUCUUUUA